rnacentral:rRNA from 1 species
UACGGAGGGUGCAAGCGUUAAUCGGAAUUACUGGGCGUAAAGCGCACGCAGGUGGCUGAGUCAGUCGAUUGUGAAAGCCCCGGGCUCAACCUGGGAACAGCGCUUGAGACUGGCACGCUCGAGUUCGGGAGAGGAUGGUGGAAUUCCCAGUGUAGAGGUGAAAUUCGUAGAUAUUGGGAAGAACACCGAUGGCGAAGGCAGCCAUCUGGACCGACACUGACGCUGAGGCGCGAAAGCGUGGGGAGCAAACAGG